UCCUUGGUGGCUCAGAUGGUAAAGAAUCUGCCUGCAGUGCAGGAGACCCGGGUUUGAUCCUUGGCUCAGGAA
rnacentral:tRNA from 1 species